rnacentral:rRNA from 1 species
AUCGAACGCUGGCGGCAGGCCUAACACAUGCAAGUCGAACGAGUGGCGGACGGGUGAGCAAUUUCUGGGAAACUGCCUGAUGGAGGGGGGUAACUACUGUAACCGGUAGCUAAUACCGCAUACCAUCAGCUGGGCCCAGAGGGGAUUAGCUAGCUGGUGGGGUAACGGCUCAUACAGGUGACGAUCCCUAGCUGGUCUGAGAGGAUGACCAGCCACACUGGAACUGAGACACGGUCCAGACUCCUACGGGAGGCAGCAGUGGGGAAUAUUGCACAGUGGGCGCAAGCCUGAUGCAGCCAUGCCGCGUGGAUGAAGAAGGCCUUCGGGUUGUAAAGUACGUUCAGCGGGGAGGCGGUACCCGCAGAAGAAGCACCGGCUAACGCCGUGCCAGCAGCCGCGGUAAUUC